CAGGGACCCACCACAGGAGGGCCCUCUAACAGCCCAGCUGAAUUAAUUUGGCUGACAAAGAAAAACAACUUCCUGAGCUGCCUGUUUGAUAACUCCUCGGUACAGCUCCAUGAUGUCUC
rnacentral:lncRNA from 1 species